AUCUAUCCAGCAGCUGACAACACCAAAUUCGUUGAUCAAUGGCGGCUUCCGCCACCGUCGUGCUGAAGACGGCGGUGAUGCCUGCCGCCUGCAUGCAUGGUGCUGGUCCUGCUGUCGGCCAUGGGUCCGCCGGCGGCGAUGGCCGGCUUGCGCGACGAUUGCCGCGCGUUCUGUGAUCCUAGGUGCGCUAGGUACACUAGUGAUCUGUGCGGCAGCAUCAUCGAGUGUUACCCUUUGCUUCAUCCUCUCAGCUUGACGUGCACCGAGCGGUUCUAUGGAGUGUGUGCGACCACAUGCGUGACCAUCUGCACCGCAAACACCCUGACUCCGUCCGGCAGCCCGGUGCCGCCGGGGCCUCCGCCGCCGCCGCCACCACCACCACCCCAAUGCAGGCAAUAGGGAUGCCUCUGGGUUAUGUACGGCGUUACCAGUUCUCCGUUUCGCAAAUGAUUAUAUGUCUCUACUAGGUAAAUGCUUAUGCUUUGCAACCGAAAAAAAUAAUGAUAUUAUGAAAUAGCUAUGAUGAUGUGUUGUACUUAGUUCCAUAAAAAAUGAUGUGUUGUACUGUUAUCCAGAAAAUGAUAUUUCGAGGGAAGCACCGAUUGCCUAAGAAAGACCAGUUUGCAGUAACACAAUGACGUAGUAGUUCAAUUUCUAAUAUGUAAAACAACAGAAAGACCUCCAUGUAACUCCGCUUGCUAUGUUAUUCAUAAAAAUAUAUAAAAAAAACUUCUUGUCCACGUUACGUUUAAGGUGGUCUUGUAGUCCUUUAGGAAUUAUAAAGUUCUCCUAGGAUUUCUUUUGUAAUCCCCAAUAGCUAGAUCAUAAACUCAUUUCAUGUUAUUUGGUCAUCCUCUGCAAAGUCCUUUGCCGAUUUUGCGAGACUUAGAGCAUGUAGGACCAAAACAUUUGGCCCUAAAGUCAAAACUACAUAAUA
rnacentral:lncRNA from 1 species